rnacentral:hammerhead_ribozyme from 1 species
GUGCAUCUGAAGAGUCCAAAAUAGAACGAAACGCGCUCCCUGGAU